CCAAGUAUUGGAGGUGAUGCCUGCCCAGUGACAACAGUUCAACGGCCGCGGUAUCCUAACCGUGCGAAGGUAGCGCAAUCAAUUGUCCCAUAAAUCGAGACAUGUAUGAAUGGCUAAACGAGGUCCCAACUGUCUCUUACAGAUAAUCAGUGAAAUUGAUCUCCCUGUGCAAAAGCAGGAAUUACAACAUAAGACAAGAAGACCCUGUGGAACUUCAAAAUCAACAGCCACUCCCACACACCACUUCCCCUACAUGGAUCACUUCAAGGGAUUCUACUGGCCUGUAUUUUUUGGUUGGGGCGACCUUGGAGAAAAAUAUACCCUCCAAAAAUUAGACCAUAUUUCUAUACCAAGAUCAACCCAUCUACGUGCUAACAGCAACCAGACCCAAUAUCAUUGACCAAUGAACCUAGCUACCCCAGGGAUAACAGCGCAAUCUCCCCCAAGAGCCCCAAUCGACAGGGAGGUUUACGACCUCGAUGUUGGAUC
rnacentral:rRNA from 1 species